UACGGAGGGGGCUAGCGUUGUUCGGAAUUACUGGGCGUAAAGCGCACGUAGGCGGCUUUGUAAGUUAGAGGUGAAAGCCCGGAGCUCAACUCCGGAAUUGCCUUUAAGACUGCAUCGCUAGAAUUGUGGAGAGGUAAGUGGAAUUCCGAGUGUAGAGGUGAAAUUCGUAGAUAUUCGGAAGAACACCAGUGGCGAAGGCGGCUCACUGGACUGGGUAUUGACGCUGAGGUGCGAAAGCGUGGGGGAGCAAACAGG
rnacentral:rRNA from 1 species